UACGUAGGGGGCUAGCGUUGUCCGGAUUUAUUGGGCGUAAAGAGCGUGUAGGCGGCCAGGUAGGUCCGUUGUGAAAACUGGAGGCUCAACCUCCAGACGUCGACGGAAACCGUGUGGCUAGAGUCCGGAAGAGGAGAGUGGAAUUCCUGGUGUAGCGGUGAAAUGCGCAGAUAUCAGGAAGAACACCAAUGGCGAAGGCAGCUCUCUGGGGACGGUACUGACGCUGAGACGCGAAAAGCGUGGGGGAGCGAACAGG
rnacentral:rRNA from 1 species